CCUCCACCCCGAUAUCUUCCCCCACCACCCCUCGGCGAGGAGUAAGUGCCACCGCUCCGCCUUCUCCUUUUCGCAAUGUUGACGCAAUCUAUAAAUAGUGGAACAAAAGGACCAACUUCCUCGCAGCUUUGCUGAAACUGCACAAAAAAGGCAACCGGGGGGGGACACACACGCGGUUAUUUUUUGAUUUUAUUUUUCUCUGGUUAAAAGGCGAAUCCUCCUCCUCCCUUCCUCCCUCUCUCUCCUUCCCCCCCCCUCCCCUGCCUCCCUACUGGAAGAUCUAUUUUAUUUUCUCUUGCUGCCUCCUAUGCUGGCAACGUCCUGCGAGUGGCUAUUUUGCUUUUUGCACCGAGAGAAGAGCUUCCCCCCUCGCCCUCUCUUCUGACACUUAUGGAUGAAAUCUACACUGAUGUCUAACCUGUAAUGAGUGUCAAUCUGUGUUCCUGCUGUGACUUUUUGGCUUGGCUAGUCACUGAGGAAACACUGAUGAUCCUCUCCCAGAUGCUACAGCUAAAGAAUGCAAUAGCCACCUCCUCUUACAUGGAUUUUUACACUACAGCAAUUGCCUUUCUCACUUUUUCUAAUUCUCAGUUAAAUAUUUACCCAUUCUGAUCCACAAAUUAUUGUAAUUGUGCAUUAUUUAAGAUAUACGGAUAGAAGGUGUAAACUAAGAAUAUUACAUUAGGUUUAAGCUUUAUACAGUCCUAAGUAAUUCUGAGAGUAAUGGUUGUGUAAUGUCACUAUUAACUUUGUAAGUCCGAAACACAAGAGCAUAAUAAGAAAGAGAACUACUCAGUGUGCUUACACAUAAUCACACAGAUUUCAGUCUGUGCAGAACUGGGGCCUAUGUGCAUUAAGAAUGGAACCUGAGAGCAAGUACUACAUAUUAGGGGAUGUAAAAAUUUCACUUUCAUUAAAAAUCUUAAUGAAAUCUUAGGAAUGAUAUCUGAAAGUAGUGUUCUAUUCAUAUUGAAGAAUACCGUGUAUCACAGAAACAGGACAUAAUAUUUUCUACAUCUUAUUUUUAUAUUAGCAUUGGAAAAAUGGGUGUAAAAUAGUAACUAGAAUUAUUUUAGGGCAAAACUAUACAUAAUCUAAGUACAGAGAAGUGGUAUCAGCAACACCAUAAUUUUAUAUUUUUCUUUACUGUUUUCACUGCUAUUUCUACUGCAAAGUUUUCUUUUCACAGGCACCUAACCUUCAGGGAAAAAAAAUUAGAAAAUAUGUACUAUCAUUCCUUUCAGUUGAAAGGCAUACUUUUCAAAAAUUUUGCUCAGAGUAAUUUUAGUAAAAGAGCAAAAAAGUAAAUAUACUGCAAAUAAUUUAUAUUUCCUCCUUCUUAAUAGAAUGGCUUUACGAUCUGAAGUUUUGUCAUGUAGCUCAUUUUCAUUGAGAACCUGGUUUUAAAAAAUUAGGAAUCAAUUUCUUUAGCUGCACCAAACUUCAAUUCAGAGGAAAAUAUAAUAACAUAAAUGCAUAAUAUUACCUAUGUGA